rnacentral:rRNA from 1 species
UACGUAGGGUGCGAGCGUUGUCCGGAAUUAUUGGGCGUAAAGGGCUCGUAGGCGGUUUGUCGCGUCGGGAGUGAAAACUCAGGGCUUAACCCUGAGCCUGCUUCCGAUACGGGCAGACUAGAGGUAUGCAGGGGAGAACGGAAUUCCUGGUGUAGCGGUGAAAUGCGCAGAUAUCAGGAGGAACACCGGUGGCGAAGGCGGUUCUCUCGGCAUUACCUGACGCUGAGGAGCGAAAGUGUGGGGAGCGAACAGG